AUGCCGCCGGUGGCGACGGCCUCAACCUUGGGCAACUUGGGGGUCGCGCUCGCCUCUCUGCCCUCCCCCCCCCGAAGACGCCGUCUACCGCGUCAGCCGCCUCCCCGACGCGGUCCUCCGCCAUAUCGUCUCCAUCCUUCCCGUCAAGGACGCCGUGCGCACCGCCACACUCUCCCACCGCUGGCGCGGGGUCUGGCGCUCCGCCCCGCUCGUCCUCGUCGAUGCCGAUCUCGCCCCCGCCACCUCCGCCCUGUCUCGCGUGCUCGAAGAGCACCCGGGGCCCUUCCGCUGCGUCCACCUGAUCAAGAGCUGCAGGGAGGAGUUCCAUGGCCUGCUCACGUGCUGGAUCGAGCUUCUCGCCGCCAAGGGCAUACUGGAACUCGUCAUCCUCGACCAAUGGGAUCCUCCAUUCAACGCUAUCCUCCCCUCCACCUUAUUCGGCAUGGCCACCCUCACCCGGCUCCACCUCGGCUCCUGGAAGUUCCUGGACACGGCCGGCCUCCCGCGCUCCGCCUCUUUCCCCAAACUCCAUCAGCUCGGGCUCUGCAACAUCCUUGUAGAGAGCAGGGAUUUGGACUUCAUCCUCGACAGGAGCCCCGUGCUGGAGACGCUCAGUGUCGAAGGUAA
rnacentral:rRNA from 1 species